GGGCGAUUAGCUCAGCUGGUUAGAGCGCCACCUUUACACGGUGGAUGUCGGGGGUUCGAAUCCCUCAUCGCCCA
rnacentral:tRNA from 4 species